GCAGCACAGGUAGCAAUACUGGGUGGCGACCGGCAAACGGGUGCGGAACACGUACGCAAUCUACCCUUGUCAGGGGAAUAGCCCGGAGAAAUCCGGAUUAAUACCCCGUAAUAUAUUUGAAAGGCAUCUUUUGAAUAUUAAAACUACGGUGGACAGGGAUGAGCGUGCGUCCCAUUAGCUAGUUGGUAGGGUAACGGCCUACCAAGGCAACGAUGGGUAGCUGGUGUGAGAGCACGACCAGCCACACGGGCACUGAGACACGGGCCCGACUCCUACGGGAGGCAGCAGUGAGGAAUAUUGGUCAAUGGACGCAAGUCUGAACCAGCCAUGCCGCGUGAAGGAUGAAGGCCUUCUGGGUUGUAAACUUCUUUUAUCUGGGAAGAAAACUAUGGUUUCUACUAUAGCCGACGGUACCAGAGGAAUAAGCACCGGCUAACUCCGUGCCAGCAGCCGCGGUAAUACGGAGGGUGCAAGCGUUAUCCGGAUUCACUGGGUUUAAAGGGUGUGUAGGCGGGCAGUUAAGUCAGUGGUGAAAUCUCCGGGCUCAACCCGGAAACUGCCAUUGAUACUAUCUGUCUUGAAUUUUGUUGAGGUAGGCGGAAUAUGUCAUGUAGCGGUGAAAUGCAUAGAUAUGACAUAGAACACCAAUUGCGAAGGCAGCUUACUAAGCAAAUAUUGACGCUGAGGCACGAAAGCGUGGGGAUCAAACAGGAUUAGAUACCCUGGUAGUCCACGCCCUAAACGAUGAUUACUCGACAUACGCGAUACACAGUGUGUGUCUG
rnacentral:rRNA from 1 species